UACGAAGGGGGCUAGCGUUGUUCGGAAUUACUGGGCGUAAAGCGCAUGUAGGCGGAUAUUUAAGUCAGGGGUGAAAUCCCGCAGCUCAACUGCGGAACUGCCUUUGAUACUGGGUAUCUUGAGUAUGGAAGAGGUGAGUGGAAUUCCGAGUGUAGAGGUGAAAUUCGUAGAUAUUCGGAAGAACACCAGUGGCGAAGGCAAUCCCCUGGGCCUGUGCUGA
rnacentral:rRNA from 1 species